UACGAAGGGGGCUAGCGUUGCUCGGAAUUACUGGGCGUAAAGCGCACGUAGGCGGCUUUCUAAGUCGGGGGGUGAAAUCCUGGAACUCAACUCCAGAACUGCCUUCGAUACUGGAGAGCUCGAGUCCGGGAGAGGUGAGUGGAACUGCGAGUGUAGAGGUGAAAUUCGUAGAUAUCAGGAGGAACACCGGUGGCGAAGGCGGGUCUCUGGGCCGGAUACUGACGCUGAGGAGCGAAAAGCCAGGGGGAGCAAACGGGG
rnacentral:rRNA from 1 species